rnacentral:ncRNA from 2 species
UUAUAUUUGCAGCGAAUCGGUUUCAUGCGGAUGUUCAUCUUCAUGGAUUAAAAGGGAAUCGGGUGAAAAUCCCGGACAGUCCCGCUGCUGUGAAACUCCAUCCAACGUCUCGACAAAUACUCUUUACCACUGGUUCGGCAGAACCGGGAAGGUGUCAAGACGGGAGUCAGUCAGAAGACCUGCCGUUCAUUAAAGGCUGUU